UUGAAAGGGAAACGAUUGAAGUCAGUCGUACCAGCGGGAAUCAACCUUUCGAGUGGGGNUUUUGGAGUUUUGAAGAGUGUCAAAACCUUUGAGAUUUCAAAAUUUUCGCUCUUUUGGUGUACUUUCUCGUGGGUAGGUUAACAUCGAUUUUGAUCAUCAUAAAAAGAUUGGAGGAAUGUAGCUUCGAUCUUGUAUUGAAGUGUUAUAGCCUUUGGUAAAUGUGAUGAUUAGGAUCGAGGAUUGCAACGAAUACCCUUUUGGGCUAUCCGCCUGAUCUCUGAUACGUGGCCUUGGUAUCGAAAGCGUGCUUAUGGUAUUGAGGUAUUACGGUCAUAAGGUUAGAACGGAUUACAUUCGUUAAGGAUGUUGACGUA
rnacentral:rRNA from 1 species